rnacentral:rRNA from 1 species
UACAGAGGGGGGCGAGCGUUUGUUCGGAAUUACUGGGCGUAAAGGGCGCGUAGGCGGCCUGCUAAGUCGGACGUGAAAUCCCCUCGGCUCAACCGGGGAACUGCGUCCGAUACUGGCGGGCUUGAAUCCGGGAGAGGAAUGCGGAAUUCCAGGUGUAGCGGUGAAAUGCGUAGAUAUCUGGAGGAACACCGGUGGCGAAGGCGGCAUUCUGGACCGGCAUUGACGCUGAUGCGCGAAAGCCAGGGGAGCAA